rnacentral:rRNA from 1 species
GACGAACGCUGGCGGCGUGCCUAAUACAUGCAAGUUGAGCGCUGAAGGUUGGUACUUGUACCAACUGGAUGAGCAGCGAACGGGUGAGUAACGCGUGGGGAAUCUGCCUUUGAGCGGGGGACAACAUUUGGAAACGAAUGCUAAUACCGCAUAAAAACUUUAAACACAAGUUUUAAGUUUGAAAGAUGCAAUUGCAUCACUCAAAGAUGAUCCCGCGUUGUAUUAGCUAGUUGGUGAGGUAAAGGCUCACCAAGGCGAUGAUACAUAGCCGACCUGAGAGGGGGAUCGGCCACAUUGGGACUGAGACACGGCCCAAACUCCGACGGGAGGCAGCAGUAGGGAAUCUUCGGCAAUAGACGAAAGUCUGACCGAGCAACGCCGCGUGAGUGAAGAAGGUUUUCGGAUCGUAAAACUCUGUUGGUAGAGAAGAACGUUGGUGAGAGUGGAAAGCUCAUCAAGUGACGGUAACUACCCAGAAAGGGACGGCUAACUACGUG